CCCUGACAUCUUGAAUGCCACCGGACAUCUCACUGCCUAGUGCAAUUGCUGCACUGAAUGGAGAAAUGCAGGUGAGCCUUCUGAUUACAAGCUGCUUGGUAGGCAUCCCAAACGCAAUGCCAUACUCAUCCCAGCCACUCUUAACAGCUACACAAUCGUCUCCAGAGACAAUGUAACAGUCCUCAAUUCUGGUGUUUGUGCACGAGUCUGGGUUGAUCCCAUCAGUGUUUGGAGAGGUCACCGGCGCACGAAUUGUUAAGCCUUG
rnacentral:misc_RNA from 1 species